rnacentral:rRNA from 1 species
AUUGAACGCUGGCGGCAUGCUUUACACAUGCAAGUCGAACGGUAACAGGGUGCUUGCACCGCUGACGAGUGGCGAACGGGUGAGUAAUGCGUCGGAACGUGCCGAGUAGUGGGGGAUAACGCAGCGAAAGUUGUGCUAAUACCGCAUACGUACUGAGGUAGAAAGUGGGGGACCUUCGGGCCUCACGCUAUUCGAGCGGCCGACGUCUGAUUAGCUAGUAGGUGAGGUAAAGGCUCACCUAGGCGACGAUCAGUAGCGGGUCUGAGAGGAUGAUCCACCACACUGGGACUGAGACACGGCCCAGACUCCUACGGGAGGCAGCAGUGGGGAAUUUUGGACAAUGGGCGAAAGCCUGAUCCAGCCAUGCCGCGUGUCUGAAGAAGGCCUUCGGGUUGUGAAGGACUUUUGUCAGGGAGGAAAUCCCUAGUGCUAAUAACACUGGGGGAUGACAGUACCUGAAGAAUAAGCACCGGCUAACUACGUGCCAGCAGCCGCGGUAA